rnacentral:rRNA from 1 species
UAGCUUCACANUCGAGCGGACAGAAGGGAGCUUGCUCCCGGAUGUUAGCGGCGGACGGGUGAGUAACACGUGGGUAACCUGCCUGUAAGACUGGGAUAACUCCGGGAAACCGGAGCUAAUACCGGAUAGUUCCUUGAACCGCAUGGUUCAAGGAUGAAAGACGGUUUCGGCUGUCACUUACAGAUGGACCCGCGGCGCAUUAGCUAGUUGGUGAGGUAACGGCUCACCAAGGCGACGAUGCGUAGCCGACCUGAGAGGGUGACGGCCACACUGGGACUGAGACACGGCCCAGACUCCUACGGGAGCAGCAGUAGGGAAUCUUCCGCAAUGGACGAAAGUCUGACGGAGCAACGCCGCGUGAGUGAUGAAGGUUUUCGGAUCGUAAAGCUCUGUUGUUAGGGAAGAACAAGUGCAAGAGUAACUGCUUGCACCUUGACGGUACCUAACCAGAAAGCCACGGCUAACUACGUGCCAGCAGCCGCGGUAAUACGUAGGUGGCAAGCGUUGUCCGGAAUUAUUGGGGUAAAGGGCUCGCAGGCGGUUUCUUAAGUCUGAUGUGAAAGCCCCCGGUCAACCGGGGAGGGUCAUUGGAAACUGGGAAACUUGANUGCAGAAGAGGAGAGUGGAAUUCCACGUGUAGCCGGUGAAAAUGCGUANAGAUGUGGGAGGAAC